GUGAAAGAAGAAGUUAUCAAGUAUUUGAAGUACCAACUCUAACAACUCCUACAAGUGACAUCAUGUUAUGUGUGUACAGCCAUGUGCAUUUUCAUCACUGUGCCUGUCCAACCGUAUCAUCUUUUGAACAAACAGACAAAUUUUCAUAAUACUUGGUAUGAAUAUAAAGCCACUUGGGAUCACUCCACUUAUGUACUUCUUAAACAUCCUUUUGUCAAUGUCAACAUGAUUUUGGAUGAAUACAGAUAAUCAACAUACCAAAAAUCCUGUAUGAAAUUAUUUGUUUCAUAUGAUGUUAACUUUGUAAACAGGUAAUAAUACAAAACCAAUAAAAUCAAAUCAUAAUAACAAA